UGUGCCCCGCGUGUGCACGGGCGUGGCGGCGGCGGCGGGCGCGCGACCCGGCCGCGGUAGUGCGUGCCCGUCGCUCUGCGCACCCGCCCGCCCGCCGGAGCGCAGCAUCGCCUCCGGCCAAGAGUGUGCAUGCGUGGGGAUGCCGCAUAAGGUGUGUGAUGUGAUCACGCCUGCCUUGGAGGAGCUGACACCGGCUGUUGCGUGGGUCCUGGACACUCACCUCUGGAGCACUGAGCCACCACCAUGCUGGGAGGAAGCCCAACCAGCCCACAUAGACCAAGUAGAAGGGCCCAGAGAGAACAGGAGGAGGAGAGAGAUGCCCAGCCAGCCGACUGCAGCCACUGGCUGCAGCUGCAUGAGGGACCCCAAGCCAGACCACGUAGCCAAGCCCAUUCCAAAUUCAUGACCCAUAGAAACUAUGAAAAACAGUAAGAUGAUUCUUGUUGUUUUAAGCCGUGUAAAGUGUGGGGUUGGUUGGUUAUGUGGCUAAUUAAAACACAGCCCUCAUGUUGAUGGAUGGCAGAAAUGGAACCAAUUUUGUAAAGCAAUUAUCCUUCAAUUAAAAAAAAAUAAACACAACCCAUUGCAAAUCUUGCGGGACUCAUGAUUCAAAAUACUCUAAAAUCCAGCUGCUUCUCACUGCUCCACCCACACCACCCUAAUCUGGGCCCUCCAUCACCUCUUGCCUGGACCACUCAGCAGCUUCCUGACUGGUCUCCCUGCUUCUGCCCUGGACCCUGCAGUCUGUGGUCUGCCCAGCAGUCAGAAUGAACCCAUGGAGCCAAGACACCUGCUCAGAGCCCUCCCGUGGCUCUCAUCUCCCUCAAGUCUUGACAGCGACCCACA